GAUGAACGCUGGCGGCGUGCCUAAUACAUGCCAGUCGAGCGAACGGACGAGAAGCUUGCUUCUCUGAUGUUAGCGGCGGACGGGUGAGUAACACGUGGAUAACCUACCUAUAAGACUGGGAUAACUUCGGGAAACCGGAGCUAAUACCGGAUAAUAUUUUGAACCGUAUGGUUCAAAAGUGAAAGACGGUCUUGCUGUCACUUAUAGAUGGAUCCGCGCUGCAUUAGCUAGUUGGUAAGGUAACGGGUUACCAAGGCAACGAGGCAUAGCCGACGUGAGAGAGUGAUCGGCGACACUGGAGCUGGGACACGGACCAGACUCCUACGGGAGGCAGCAGUAGGGAAUCUUACGCAGUGGGCGAAAGCCUGGCAGAGCAACGCCGCGUGAGUGAUGAAGGUCUUCGGAUCGUAAAACUCUGUUAUUAGGGAAGAACAUAUGUGUAAGUAACUGUGCACAUCUUGACGGUACCUAAUCAGAAAGCCACGGCUAACUACGUG
rnacentral:rRNA from 1 species